AUCUUCGGAUACUAGUAAACUGGCGAACGGGUGAGUAACGCGUAGGCUACCUGCCCUGUAGAUUGGAAUAACCUCGUGAAAAUGGGGCUAAUACCAUAUAAUAUUGAAAAAUCAAAGGAGGCUUCGGCUUUCGCUACAGGAUGGGCCUGCGUCUGAUUAGCUAGAUGGUAGAGUAAAUGACUACCAUGGCAAUGGUCAGUAGCUGGUCUGAGAGGAUGAUCAGCCACACUGGGACUGAGAUACGGCCCAGACUCCUACGGGAGGCAGCAGUGAGGAAUUUUGCGCAAUGGACGAAAGUCUGACGCAGCAACGCCGCGUGAUCGAAGAAGCUUUGCGGAGUGUAAAGAUCUGUCAUAAGGGAAGAAUAAUAUGUAUACUAACACUAUACAUAUCUGACGGUACCUUAUAAGAAAGCCCCGGCUAACUUCGUGCCAGCAGCCGCGGUAAUACGAGGGGGGCAAGCGUUGUCCGGAUUUAUUGGGCGUAAAGGGCUCGUAGGUGGGCUAGUAAGUCAAAAUUGAAAUCCAAUGGCUUAACCAUUGUCACGGUUUUGAUACUGCUAGUCUUGAGUGAAAUAGAGGUAAGUGGAAUUCCUGGUGUAGCGGUGAAAUGCGUAGAUAUCAGGAGGAACGCCGAAGGAGAAGUCAGCU
rnacentral:rRNA from 1 species